rnacentral:misc_RNA from 1 species
GUGAAUCAUCAAAUCUUUGAACGCACAUUGCACUCUCUUCGGAGAGUAUGCCUGUGUGAGUUUCAGCCUAAAAAAAAUCGACAUCGUCGCUGUUUUGCGGUGACAUUCGUCGGAAAUUGGGUCAUCUUAAACCUUUGGGUUUUAAGCGGCUUAAAAUUUUCUUUACGAUUCUACGAACGUUUCCAAGAUUUACUUACACGUUUAAGGUAUCGAUUUUUAUUAGCCGUGGCCGUUGCAUU